GAUUUACAGACUCUCAAGUCACUUGAUCAGUUUGCGCAGUCUUCUCACAGCCGAGAUACAGAUAUUAUGAUACUGGCCAUCUGUUGGGACGGUCAGGCGUUUAUUGACGAAUGCCAAAAACACAAAGGAUUAAUUCAACAACUCUUAUACAAACUUUUAUCUAAACUCAAGACACAAACACGAAUCAGUGACAAUGAUGAAGAGGAACAAGAUCAAAGAAUUCCACUCAAAAACCGCAGGGAUGAUGCGUCUGGUUUCUAUAGUAACUGGUAGCCUAAUACUUCGAGUAGGCCUACUCAUUGUAAGCGUUUGUUGUGUUGUUAGGCUGAUGCACACACACACACACACACACGUUCAGGCUAUCAUUGUUGAAAGCAGAAGACGGAAACAAGCUUGUUAAACUGAAGACACUGAAAUAAAACACAUUCUAAACUAA
rnacentral:sRNA from 1 species